UCACCACUCUUGAUGAAUCACUCAAGCAACAAUUGAAGUCUAUGAAUAUGUUGGUGUUCGCUGGCAUAGAUAUGUUACAGAAGCAGCUAUUGGACCAGGAAAAUAUUGAUGGGAACAGGACUACCAGCUCAGGCGCAAAAAGAAUGGAAUUCAAAGAUGGUGAAAGUAUUAAAUGUGAGGUGGCGGUUAAAUCUGAUAUUGAUUCAGGGGAUAAGUUAGAUGAAGCUGCUUUGGUGAAGAAAAGUCAAUACAUCUCUGACACAAGUCAUUAUCUGGACAAGAUGGCCAAUAAAGCGAAUUCAGAUUCUCUUGCUGGAGAUAAUAAUCAGUCUUAUAAUCAGGGUAAUGCAUCUCCUACAAAUUCUGAUUCCCGUUGUCUGGGUGUUUCCUUAGAUGAUACUUCUGUGAUGAGCAGUUCUUUAGUUGCUUCUAGUGAACUUAAAACUUUAGGUGCAAUUGGGAGGAAUACAUGUGCUGAUUCUGAAUCAGGGGACAAGAUAGAUGAGUUGCCAUCUGAUAGGAAAUGUCUCAUUAUCUCUGAUACAAGUGGUGAUAGACAGGAGGAAAAUAAAUUGGAAGUGGCUUUUUCUGUCAAAGAUAAUACUCAGCCUUGUGAAGAGGGCGGUAUUGGGAUUGCCCUUGCAUUAAAACUAAAUGAGUCUACUUCUGAUGAACUUAAAAUCUCAAUAGAAGGGACUAAAGCUGUUGAUUGUCAUUUAGAGGAUGAGUUUUCAGAACUAGCUUCCAAGGGGAAACAUCAGUUUGACUCCGGUGCAAAUCAUCGUGCAAUGGAGAUGCAAACUAAGCCUGUAGUGAAUUCUCACAUUGAGGAUAGAUCCCGGUCAGCACCAUUGGACAUCAAAACGGAGAU
rnacentral:misc_RNA from 1 species